rnacentral:rRNA from 1 species
GACGAACGCUGGCGGCGCGCUUAACACAUGCAAGUCGAACGGAAAGGCCUGCUUUCCCUUGUGGAUUGCGGGUACUCGAGUGGCGAACGGGUGAGUAACACGUGAGUGAUCUGCCCCCAACUUGGGUAUAAGCCUGGGAAACUGGGUCUAAUUCCCGAUAGGACUGCAGGGUGGUGCCUGUGGUGGAAAACGAUUUUCUAGUGGUUAGGGAUGAGCUCGCGGCCUAUCAGCUUGCUGGUGGGGUAAUGGCCUACCAAGGCGGCGACGGGUAGCCGGCCUGAGAGGGUGGACGGCCACAUUGGGACUGAGAUACGGCCCAGACUCCUACGGGAGGCAGCAGUGGGGAAUAUUGCACAAUGGGCGGAAGCCUGAUGCAGCGACGCCGCGUGGGGGAUGACGGCCUUCGGGUUGUAAACUCCUUUCGACCGCGAGGAAGCCACCUGGUUGGAAGGGUGGUGACGGUAGUGGUAGAAGAAGCACCGGCUAACUACGUG